UACGGAGGAUGCGAGCGUUAUCCGGAUUUAUUGGGUUUAAAGGGUGCGUAGGCGGCCUUUUAAGUCAGCGGUGAAAGUCUGUGGCUCAACCAUAGAAUUGCCGUUGAAACUGGGGGGCUUGAGUAUGUUUGAGGCAGGCGGAAUGCGUGGUGUAGCGGUGAAAUGCAUAGAUAUCACGCAGAACCCCGAUUGCGAAGGCAGCAUACCGGUGCACAACUGACGCUCAGGCACGAAAGCGUGGGUAUCGAACAGG
rnacentral:rRNA from 1 species